rnacentral:rRNA from 1 species
UAAUACGGGAGGCAGCAGUGGGGAAUCUUGGACAAUGGGGGCAACCCUGAUCCAGCCAUGCCGCGUGAGUGAUGAAGGCCCUAGGGUCGUAAAGCUCUUUCGCCUGUGAAGAUAAUGACGGUAGCAGGUAAAGAAACCCCGGCUAACUCCGUGCCAGCAGCCGCGGUAAUACGGAGGGGGUUAGCGUUGUUCGGAAUUACUGGGCGUAAAGCGCACGUAGGCGGACUGGAAAGUUGGGGGUGAAAUCCCAGGGCUCAACCCUGGAACUGCCUCCAAAACUAUCAGUCUAGAGUUCGAGAGAGGUGAGUGGAAUUCCGAGUGUAGAGGUGAAAUUCGUAGAUAUUCGGAGGAACACCACUGGCGAAGGCGGCUCACUGGCUCGAUACUGACGCUGAGGUGCGAAAGUGUGCGGAGCAAACAGGAUUAGAUACCCUGGUAGCCCACCCCGUAAACGAUUGAUGCCAGUCCUCGGGUAAUAUGCUAUUCGGUGACACACCUAACCGAUUAAGCAUUCCCGCCG